AGAACGAACGCUGGCGGCAGGCCUAACACAUGCAAGUCGAACGCCGUAGCAAUACGGAGUGGCAGACGGGUGAGUAACGCGUGGGAACAUACCCCUCGGUUCGGAAUAACUCAGGGAAACUUGAGCUAAUACCGGAUACGUCCGAGGUUUUAAUCGACCUUGGAGAAAGAUUUAUCGCCGGAGGAUUGGCCCGCGUCUGAUUAGCUUGUUGGUGAGGUAAUGGCUCACCAAGGCGACGAUCAGUAGCUGGUCUGAGAGGAUGAUCAGCCACAUUGGGACUGAGACACGGCCCAAACUCCUACGGGAGGCAGCAGUGGGGAAUAUUGGACAAUGGGCGAAAGCCUGAUCCAGCCAUGCCGCGUGAGUGAUGAAGGCCUUAGGGUUGUAAAGCUCUUUUACCCGGGAAGAUAAUGACGGUACCGGGAGAAUAAGCCCGGCUAACUUCGCGCUAGCAGCCGC
rnacentral:rRNA from 1 species